rnacentral:rRNA from 1 species
GUCCGAGUUGUAAUUUGUAGAGGAUGUUUCGGGCGUGGCUCCGGUCUAAGUUCCUUGGAACAGGACGUCAUAGAGGGUGAGAAUCCCGUAUGUGACUGGUAGCCUAUGCCCAUGUGAAACUCCUUCGACGAGUCGAGUUGUUUGGGAAUGCAGCUCAAAAUGGGUGGUAAAUUUCAUCUAAAGCUAAAUAUUGGCCAGAGACCGAUAGCGCACAAGUAGAGUGAUCGAAAGAUGAAAAGCACUUUGGAAAGAGAGUUAAACAGUACGUGAAAUUGUUGAAAGGGAAGCGCUUGCAACCAGACUUGCACGUGGCCGAUCAACCGGUGUUCUCACCGGUGCACUCGGUUGCGUUCAGGCCAGCAUCGGUUUCGACGGUUGGAUAAAGGCCCCGGGAAUGUAGCUUCUUUCGGGGAGUGUUAUAGCCCGGGGUGCAAUGCAGCCUGUUGGGGCCGAGGACCGCGCUUCGGCUAGGAUGCUGGCGUAAUGGUUGUAAGCGACCCGUCUUGAAACACGGACCAAGGAGUCUAACAUCUAUGCGAGUGUUUGGGUGUCAAACCCAUACGCGUAAUGAAAGUGAACGGAGGUGAGAACCCUUAAGGGUGCAUCAUCGACCGAUCCUGAUGUCUUCGGAUGGAUUUGAGUAAGAGCAUAGCUGUUGGGACCCGAAAGAUGGUGAACUAUGCCUGAAUAGGGUGAAGCCAGAGGAAACUCUGGUGGAGGCUCGCAGCGGUUCUGACGUGCAAAUCGAUCGUCAAAUUUGGGUAUAGGGGCGAAAGACUAAUCGAACCAUCUAGUAGCUGGUUCCUGCCGAAGUUUCCCUCA